rnacentral:rRNA from 1 species
UACAGAGGGUGCAAGCGUUAUUCGGAAUUACUGGGCGUAAAGAGCGCGUAGGCGGUUUAGUAAGUCAUGUGUGAAAUCCCUCGGCUUAACCGAGGAACUGCACUUGAAACUACUAGGCUAGAGUGUCGGAGGGGAUGGCGGAAUUUCCAGUGUAGGGGUGAAAUGCGUAGAGAUCGGUAGGAACACCAGUGGCGAAGGCGGUCUCCUGGAGCUGGCUUGACGCUGAGGCGCGAAAGCUGGGGGAGCGAACGGG